rnacentral:snRNA from 1 species
AAAGUUGUCCUUUCAGUAUCUGUUCUUAUCAGCUUAAUAUCUGAUACGAGUCCUAUUUGGACUCAAGAUAUUAAACUAAUUUUUGCCACUUGGCGCCGUGAAGGGGCUUGCUCCUCCGGCGCCGCGGGUUGUCCCAGCGUUGCACUGAUGCCGGGUUCGGCCCAAGACCC